UUUCGACACACUAUCAUUAACUGAAUCCAUAGGUUAAUGAGGCGAACCGGGGGAACUGAAACAUCUAAGUACCCCGAGGAAAAGAAAUCAACCGAGAUUCCCCCAGUAGCGGCGAGCGAACGGGGAGGAGCCCAGAGCCUGAAUCAGUGUGUGUGUUAGUGGAAGCGUCUGGAAAGGCGCGCGAUACAGGGUGACAGCCCCGUACACAAAAAUGCACAUAUUGUGAGCUCGAUGAGUAGGGCGGGACACGUGGUAUCCUGUCUGAAUAUGGGGGGA
rnacentral:rRNA from 1 species